rnacentral:tRNA from 1 species
CCCAAGCCUUCUGGCAAUCCGCGAUAAGUUCUUUGUAGAACUUUAAGAAAAGCAUUUUCCAUUAAAAGAAUGCUUUCAUGUGAUAAUGCCGGGGAAGGUUUUCCGGUUUAUCCCGGAGGGCUUGUAGCUCAGUUGGUUAGAGCGCGCGCUUGAUAAGCGUGAGGUCGGAGGUUCAAGUCCUCCCAGGCCCACCAAUUAUCCAUCCAUAGAAAAGCGCUUAGAAAGUUUGACUGUUAACAGGUCAACGUUGUUUUGUAGGACGCCAAUAUUGUCUUGAAAAAGAGCUUUCUUGUAAAGUUUGAGAAAACUUGUUUAUCGCUUUUUGUAAGAUGUGGUGUUUGUCUGCUUUUAAAGCGAUCGAAACUGAAAGUGUUUCAAAGAUAAGAGUCUUGGAACAGAAGAGUCUUGGAAUAGAAAAGAAUAUAAAGUCUAGGUGGUAUUACAUAGUCUAGAGUUAAAUUGUUCAUGAUUGGAACAUUUCAUAUUGAAAUGCUGCGAUAUAAAGGUUUCGAAUAAAUUAUUCCGUUUUGGGGCCGUAGCUCAGCUGGGAGAGCACCUGCUUUGCAAGCAGGGGGUCGUCGGUUCGAUCCCGUCCGGCUCCACCAUUUGGUCAUCAUCAUUG